CAAAUUCCGUGAGUCUUGUCGUACUUGAGGACACAUCACUUCCUGUUGCCAUGUAUGUCAUACAACCUGCAGUUCAAGAUAGGUGUUAGAGAAGGAGACUUGUCCACUUUGCUGUAAAAGAAUUCCUCGGAACAACAACUUUGUCCCACAGAAAGACAUAGAAGGAAUAAUUAUAUAUUCUGUACCAUCGUACACCCUCACAGGCGCCGCCAAAUUCCGUGAGUCUUGUCGUACCUGAGGACACAUCACUUCCUGUUGCCAUGUAUGUCAUACAACCUGCAGUUCAAGAUAGGUGUUAGAGAAGGAGGCUUGUCCACUUUGCUGUAGAAGAAUUCCUCGGAACAACAACUUUGUCCCACAGAAAGACAUAGAAGGAAGAAUGAUAUAUUCUGUACCAUCUGACACCCUCACAGGGUAUGGCAAUAUUUAUAUACUCAUUUUAUAGGUUGAACUCCAUGGACUUCUGUCUUCUUUCAACCUCAUAUACUAUGUUUUGUAUUAUAAUGAGUCUUGUCAUACCUGAGGACACAGAUGAACUUAAUAAGGCAACAGUGUCUAGGAUUUAUUUGCCUAACUGAAUGAAAAUGAAUAAAUAAACAGAAUAUGACUUUAA